GAAAGAGUUUAGGCAUUGUAUUACACACUCAUUUUAACCAUGGCAUGCUAUUGUACAACAUGUCUUGACGGAAAUAAUUUCGAUAAAAAAUAUUUGCAGUAAAUAAUUUUUCUAUUGCGAAUCGUUUGUAUCUUUUUAUCUUUAUUCUGAAAUGCCCCUCUUAAGAAUAAUGUCAUGUAUAGCUGGUUUAGAAUUAAGAAUGAUGAUAUGUUCUAACAGCAUUUUGUCAUGUCAUUUACUGUACUUCUUAACCUACAUGUAUUUGAAUAUUAGUUUAAACCUAUUUAUUUUAGCUCGAUUGCAUAGAAAGUAAUUCCUACUUAUUUUAAAUGCUUUCGAGUCCGUUUCCUGGGCCUAGAACCAGUAUUUGAAUAUUCAGUCCCCAUAUAACUACGCCCAUAUGUUGUGGACAUUUUCAUACAAGAAUACAAACAGGAAUAUGUAUUGAAGUUUGCUUUUUAAAUUGACAGUCAAUCGGAGGGUAACAGGUUGUUUUUUUUUACAAGAAGUGAGGAACUAAACACAAUUUGCAGGAAAAAAAAAUAUUUCUUUAAGUAUAUUUGCAUCACAGGAGCUCUGGUGUCCUGAGGUUGAGGAAACUAGUGUUGAAUCUAAAACAUUUAGCAUCAUGUACUCAAAAGUGAGAAGCCAAGUCAGACACCGCAAAAUGUAAAAUAAUCUGUCAGAUGUUUGGUCUGACAGGCUACGAAAUUCUGUCAGACUGAAGGAUAAUUUCUGGAUUCCGCUUAUUAACAUACCUGAUAAUAGCAUAUUUCUGUUAUUAGCAUAUAGAAUGUCAAAGCACAGAUUAAUUCUUAAAUUUUAAUGUAUUUUUCUUCUAUUAAUAGCAUAAUUUUUAACCCCAAUAUUCAGAAUUCACUUAAAGUCUUUAUAGCAUAGAACAUUCUCAGAAUGCCAAGAAAAUAUGCUUUAAAUUUGCAAAAAUAUGCUCAAAUGCAAAUGCAAAUACCUAAGAAUACAAUUCCAUUUGAUAAAUAGUUAUCUUAAACAUCAAUCAUAUACAAUGUUGAAUUUAAAUUUCACUUUGACGAUCAAUUAUUAACAGAUUUGACUUAUUGUAUGCCCCCAGUUGCUAUAUUUAUGCUAAAAUGUGUGUUCCGGUUAAUAGCAUAUUCCUGUUAUUAGCAUAAUUUUGGCUGACAUGGUAUGCUAAGAACAGGAUUCCACUGUAGCAACAUAUUAAUCAGGAAUUAUGGUUUGAAUCCGUGAACUAUUAUUUUUAAUGGUGAAAGAAAAUCUCCAUGACGCGUUUUCAAAAAUUCCUAAUCAAGCUUGGUAAAAGAGCACACAGAAUAGCAAAUUUAUUACAGCGCCAACUUACGGGUAAAAAUGAUUGAUUUUUUUUAUAUUCCGUAAAGACAAAUGCCGCAUCAUAUCCUAUGGGUGAUUUAAAAAUUAAUGAAGCCUAAAUAAAACAUGCAUUUAUUUUCUUACCAUUAAGCAUGUUUGAGUUCUUUUUCUAUCUUACAGAAGUGUUUCCAUGUGAUUAACUUAAAUGUGAAAAUUCUUCUCAAUAACUUUCUUCAUUAACAAAAUAUAUUGAAAAAUAUCCUUAAAAUUGCCCCAAGUGUACUGGUUUUGCGUGACAUUUUAUGUAAAAGGCAAUUUUCAAUUCUAUACUUCAAUAAAACUUUCAGAAAUAUUAGGUAUUGCCAUCAUUUAAUGAAUAUAAAAAUUCAUAUGCUUUAAGAAAAAUAAAACAAUGCUUCUUACUUAGGUUGAUAUCUUUUGUAGCAAGUGUUCAAAGCAAUGAUGUUCUUGUCAAUUUUGUGCCACAAUUUUCAACUCUCUUCAUGUAUAUUAAGAGAUGGGAUCAUAAAGUGCUUCAAUAUUUAUAGGCAAAAAGUGUCCUUUUAACCUGUCACAUGUUUUUUCUACACAUUUGUACAGGUAUUUAUACAAUUAUUUGUUCAUGUAAAUUUUGAACAGCUGAAUACUAAAUGUGGUCAGAAUUUGUCCCUGUCACAAGUGUACAUUUUGCAAGAAAGUUAUUUUAAAUUUUUCAUAAGAUAGAAUUUUCAAGGUUUUACAUCAUUUUCUUCAAACCAUUAAUGCUUAUCACUAGAUGUACUGAAAAUUUGAUGCCAAAACCUUGUGAACUUUUUUUGCAAGACAAAUAUUGCAUUGUACCAAGUGUACGAAUUUUUUAUCAUGUUUGAUGGACAGGUGAUAGCUUUUAAAAAAUAAACAAAGGCACUAAUUUUCUGGAAAGAAGUACACAGAAGAUGUAAUCUCCAAGAGAAAAAGGUGUUGUCUUCACUCUGGGGGUUAACUACUCUUAUUAUAUGGGUGGACUUCAAUAUGUAUGAUCUACUUAUGCUGCCACAAUGUAAAGGCAACAAUCACUGGGUUUUGCUGUUUGCAAGUGUUAUGUCCAGGACUGUAACCAUUUACGACUCGUUGGGUGGUAACAACAAGGCAUUGUUCGAUUUGUUCUGCCAGUUCAUGUGUCAACGAGCGCAAAUUGUGAACGAUGGCUUGGAAAAAAUUCAGUUCAGAGUUCAAAGCGCCACCUUGCAACAAACAGCGCCAUGGAAACAGCUGUGGAGUGUUUGCAUUGAUGACUGCCAAAUGUAUGGUCAUGAAAAAGCAUCCCACAAUGUUGCGACAGGCCCAUGAUUCAGCUUAUCAAGACUAGUCGUGAGACGCAGACUUCUGAUUCAUGGAGUGCGGCAAACAUAUCUGUGUGACUCGAUCACUCCACUGUAAAGACCCGCACGGCAUUAAAAUGGAUAUUAUCAAUAUGUGUUGUUGCUCGAAAAUAUGUUUUGUAGCAGGAAGUGCUUUGGGCUCGAUUAAUCUGAGAACUCAACAAAAUAUUAAUAAAAUCCUUCUGUGCCUUUUAGUUCUGAAAACAGAAGUAGCCAGUUGGUAUUACACAUCUCCUAAACAAGUACAGCACAAUAAAACUGAAGGUUUUAAAUCCUACAUUU